UCUCCCUCACAGGUAUGUCGGCAUUAGGGUUCUACACGUCAAACUGGAGUAAACCCUGAAAUCAUCAGCAAGUAACGCAUACACUCGUGAGAUAUUAAAUUCAUCCAGGCCGACACUACACCCCAAGAGGGUCCUGGCACAACCGGAUCGGGUGCAUCAACAGCGGGCAAUGAGCGUAUAUUCCACACUCGGAAAACACGAAGACAACGAUCAGCAAGAAAAGAAUCGUUGGGACGGCGGCCGCUCCCCGGAGUCACACAGAGACUGAAAGACGUGUUCCUUGUCUGUUAGGACCGAUUCCUGUAUUCUCUGCCUCCGCAGAAUCCGCUCCAAUACACCUGUUACCUGCCUCUUCUCUGAGGCCUGUGUGCUGCCGUGCAGCUUCAAACCCUCGCAGAAAGUCC